rnacentral:miRNA from 1 species
UGGAACUUGCAUGAACAGGC